GUAAGUUACUAGUGUUCCCGAUAGGAUUAGUUAUCCAAAAGAUCCUUGUAACCGAAAUUAAAUUUAGGGGGAAUUUACAUG
rnacentral:sRNA from 20 species